rnacentral:lncRNA from 1 species
CGUUUCUGUCUCUCUGUGAUCUUAAUUUUUCUUCCACCUGAAUUUUCUAAGAACAAAGAUAAUCAUCACCAACAAUGCUUAUAUAAUAUAGGAGAAAAGAGAGGGAAAAAUACAUAAUUGGUUAACAUACACAAACAAAUACAGAACAAAGGAAAUAGCACAGCUGCUGUAGUCUUUGUUUCUAUAAUUUGUCACAAGGCUGCGAUUUGCAUUGAUCAGGUGCUUCUUUCCCUCUCCGUCCAUGUCCCUCAGCCCUCAGCCGGCACACUGCUUGUCCAGGUUUCCCGCCCUGAUGGUGUGCGCCAGACCUUCACUCCUGACGGUUGUGGGAGAGCAGGCCGUCUACUAAAGCUGCAGAAGGUACCCCUUCCCAGUCCAUCCUCUGCAAAUGCUGCGUGAUUGGAACGGAGACCACGAGAGAACAGCGGUAGCUCAGCAUGAAAUAUCCUUGCACUGGCCAAUCAAUAAUAGCAGGGUUUAUUCACUCACUGCUGACCUCCCUCCCAGACCCUUCUGCUCUGUCUCGUGGAAUGCUCCUUUGCUUUUGAAGAAACUUCUUUUCAUUCUCCGCCUGCUCGAAGACAUUGUCACUCUUCCCGUUACUUAGCAAACCCUGGCUCUCACCAAGAAUGUCGCCUUGCUUCCUUUACAAUUCCGUCCAAUGAAGGUGCUCAUUCCUCCAUGAGCCUGGCACUUGCAGCUCUAGGAGGAGAGCCGAUCCUUCUAGCUCCACACUGCUGCUCCUACACCACUGAACUCCCUGCCCAGGGCUGGCUUCAUGGGCACGUGUCCAGUGCAGGCUCACGGGGUCCCAUGCACAGACGUGCCUGUGCUUGGGGUUUAAUGCUCUGCAAUUUUCAUCUUGAAACUCUUAAAAAUUGAUAUGGGCUGAAUUGUGUCCUCCCACAAUCCAUAUGUUGCAGUCCUAACCCUCAGUACCUCAGAACGUGGCUGUACUUGAAGACAGGGUCUUUAGAGAGGUAAUUAAGGUUAAAUGAGGUCACUGGGGUGGGUCCUAAUCCGAUAUGGCUGGUGUCCUUAUAAGAAGACGAGAUUAGGAUACAUACAGACAGAGAGGAAAGACCUGAUGGCCGUCUACAAGGAUAGAGGCCUCUGAUGAAACCAAGAUGCAAGCGACGUCUUCAUCUAGGACUUCCAGCCUCCAGAAAUGUGAGGAAAUAAAUUUCAGUUGUUUAAGCCGCGCCACCUGUGAUACUUUGUUACAGCAGCCCUAGCAAACUAAUAUGACAAGUUCACCUUUUAAUUUGUGUGCCAUCAGUGAGUCUGGUGCCUAGUGGAGCAUGCUCAAGGGGCUUGGAGCCCUGGCUCAUGUGGGGUCCCACUUCCCACUGUCUCCCCUCCUUCCCUGGUUGGUGUGUUGGCCUCCUGCUUCCCCUGCCCUCAGCACCCUGGGUCCCACCCAG